rnacentral:misc_RNA from 1 species
GAUGAAGAACGCAGCGAAAUGCGAUAAGUAAUGUGAAUUGCAGAAUUCCGUGAAUCAUCGAAUCUUUGAACGCACAUUGCGCCCCCUGGUAUUCCGGGGGGCAUGCCUGUCCGAGCGUCAUUACAACCCUCAAGCUCAGCUUGGUGUUGGGCCCCGCCGCCCCGGCGGGCCCUAAAGUCAGUGGCGGUGCCGUCCGGCUCCGAGCGUAGUAAUUCUUCUCGCUCUGGAGGUCCGGUCGUGUGCUCGCCAGCAACCCCCAAUUUUUUUCAGGUUGACCUCGGAUCAGGUAGGGAUACCCGCUGAACUUAAGCAUAUAAUAAGCGGAGGA